GACGAACGCUGGCGGCGUGCCUAAUACAUGCAAGUCGAGCGAAGCGGCGGAUGGGUGAGUAACGCGUGGGUAACCUGCCCUUAAGUCUGGGAUACCAUUUGGAAACAGAUGCUAAUACCGGAUACCUCAGGAUGGAACUGCGAAGCAUUAGCUAGUUGGUAAGGUAACGGCUUACCAAGGCGACGAUGCAUAGCCGAGUUGAGAGACUGAGCGGCCACAAGGCGACUGAGACACGGCCCAAACUCCUACGGUAGGCAGCAGUAGGUAAUCUUCCACAAUGGACGAAAGUCUGAUGGAGCAACGCCGCGUGAGUGAAGAAGGUUUUCGGAUCGUAAAGCUCUGUUGUUGGUGAAGCGGUAAUCAACCAGAAAGGCACGGCUAACUACGUGCCAGCAGCCGCGGUAAUUC
rnacentral:rRNA from 1 species